UACAGAGGGUGCAAGCGUUAAUCGGAAUUACUGGGCGUAAAGCGCGCGUAGGCGGCUGAUUAAGUCGGAUGUGAAAUCCCCGGGCUCAACCUGGGAACUGCAUACGAUACUGAUCGGCUAGAGUAUGAGAGAGGGAGGUAGAAUUCCACGUGUAGCGGUGAAAUGCGUAGAUAUGUGGAGGAAUACCGGUGGCGAAGGCGGCCUCCUGGCUUAAUACUGACGCUGAGGUGCGAAAAGCGUGGGGAGCAAACAGG
rnacentral:rRNA from 1 species